GCUCGAGGGGAGGCGUGCCCCGGGCGCGGAGAGGGGCGUGAGGGGCAGUGCAAAGGGGGGGCGGGCUGGGGGCGGUGGAUGGACGGCGGGGACCCUGGCUGCGGGCACCGCGCGCCCUGUGCUGACCGGGAUCCCGGCUCCGACCCCCAUCUCAGGACAUUAAUCCACAUGCAUUCAGGAUCAUAUUCUUCCAAAUUAUCAGUGUCUCAAACAGAAAAAAGGGGGAUGAGGAGGAACACAUAGUAUGGUGGUGCUGCACUGGGACUCCACCACCAUUAAGGAAUGGCAAAGCAAACGUCACAGGGACUGUCGACAGGAGCCAGCCAGAUGAUGACCAGAAGUCCAUGGUUACAGGAAGGCCUCGAUGGCAUGUAGCAAGCCAGACAGCAAACAGCCCUGGCACACCCCUUGAUGGAGGGUGCCAGGCAUGGUCAGGACCCAGUUGAGCUAGACACUCAAUAGAAGCGAACCCAAUGGAGGAACCCAAUGAAGAUGGGACCAAAGCCAAACACUUGCAGAGUGCCCAUGAGAUACCCACGAUUCACCCUGUCAAAUGCCUUCUCCUGAGGGACAAGCAAUCCAGAGAUCAUUUACCUAGGGAAAACCUGUUCCUAGGUCUCAACUGAAGCAGAAGCUAGAUUAAGAGGGUCUGUUUUGAUUAGGAGGGGAAGUGUUAGGAGCAAUAAUUUAAGAAUCCUGAACAGCUGAUUUCUGCAAGUGGUCACUGAUCACAAAUAAUAGGUUCAAGAUAUGGAGUUUGUUUAACCAAAGCUUCAAAAACAUUUUCAUGAAGAUGUAUGAAGUAUUUGUUUUUGUUUAAUAAGUUCAGAGUUCUGCUCCCAUUUUUGUAAAAAAUGCUUUUUCGUACACACUGAGACCAUAUUUAUGUCACUUUCCCCUGAGCUUGUCCGCUGCCAUGCCUAAAAGUGAUUUCAGAUACCCACUACAACUGGUAUCAAAUCUUUUUCCAUUCACCUUAAAACCUGUAUAUCCCCAGCUCAAGGCAAUACAGUUUAAUCCUCUUGGAUUUUAAGGGAGUAGAUACUGCAGAUGGGUUCAUGAGUAAAGAAUCCCAGGGCAUGUUGCAAAAGCCAUCUACAUUACCCCUCCUCCCACCUCACUCCCCUCAUAACUCCCACCUCAAUGAGUCUCAUUCCCAUAGUUCUGAUACCCUCCAAUCUUUCCAGGCCUGCACCCGUCCCAGUGAUUCCCCAUCCAACCCCCAUGAAGCUCAGUUUCUAGAGGCAUGGGAGGUUGUAUGCACCUAAACCUUGCCACGCAACCCUCCAUCAAAGUAACCUCCUUCCCCCAAAACAAUCCACUGCAGGAUCAAAAGUCUACAUUCCCUGCUCCUUUCCCUAUACUCAAGACUCAACAAAAACUAAAACUCAUCACUACACAAGAUAAAAGUAUUCUCUAUUGUACUGUCCCUCCUUUUCUCUGCUCUAAGCAAAACCACAACUCAUAGUACAGUAGGGAAGCCCAGAUUUAAUUGCUCAUUUGUAGAUAAGGAGGGCCAAAUGACAUGACAAUUCCUGCUGCAGAAAUCUUGGAUGAUGCAAGCAAUUGUUUAGAGAGCUCACACUCCUGGUGAUGGGUUUUUACAUGUUUGCUUGCAAGAUCAUACUGUACGCAAUUAUAGGGCCAACUGGGCCAACACAUUCUUCUACAAUUUUCUGUGGAAUCCUGCAGAAGUCUCCUGUGACAUUACAAGCUUUAAAGGCCUUUCCACUUUUUGUGAAAGAAUGCCUGAAAGGCUGCAUGUCUAUGGAUUCAUAAAUAAUGACACAUCAGAACUAUACCUCAGAAUAAACAUCCACAGU